GUCACGAAACACGUUUUUUUGUCGCAAACCAAUUGCAAUAAAUUUGCAUAAAGAAAACACCCCGUGAUCAUUCCUCUGUGAUCACGACGCUCGUUCACCCAGGAGGGCUUUUUCAAUCUGCCAAUUUGUCGCAGUAGGAGGCGAUGUCUCUGUAUGUACUUUUUUUCUUUCAAAUAUCUGGCCCGUUACGCCCGACACACAGUGGCUUGCUCGUUUAGAAAGAAAGACGUCACGGGAUAUUUAACGUUCGCCGUGAAGCAGGCGGCGAGUAGCAUCAGUCAGGUUGAUGCCCCCCCCCCAACCUCUCGCAGUAUUAAUCAGGACGGCCGUCGGAUUAGAACCACAAACCUCUGCAACGCGAGCUACCGCGAGGCCAACGUCACCGCCCCACAACAGUUGGAAGGCGUUCAUCCAGCUGUGGACUGAUCAUGGCUAAUGAUGAUAGCUGCUUGGAUGACUGCAUCGAUUUCAAAUGCCUUUGUCGUCUACACAGGGUAGUCAUAAUGGUAACUGAUCUUUUUGAAGAGGAAAAUGAGACGUAAUUCCAUGACUACUAUCAAUGAGUUGAAUCUCAGGGGUGGAAGGGCGCCCACUGCCAUCCAACAACGAGCUCCUGGGCAGAGCAAGCUGCAGGCGAGGCCCAAGGACAGCGACAGGAGGUGGCGGCAGCGUUGAAGGUUCCUGGACGCGGUAGGAGAGGUCGCGCAAUGUUCAGAAGGGUCAGGCCAAGGGAUAGAGGGGGACAAAAAAACAAAUGAGAUCGCAGAAAAAAUAAACAAUCGUCAAUGUGACCGGCAGGCGGAAAGGAUUAUUAAAACCUCGAAAUGACGAGAAACCCCAUCCCAAGAUAAAACAGUGCAGAUGGGAUGAGCAGUAGCAAGUGGUUUGGACAGGUCGAGGAACAAGAUUUCACAAUGGCGACGAGAUACAAGACUGGUGAAGAUCAAGUCAAAGGCGAGCACCUGAACAGGCGAGUCUUGAGCUGCUGCUUGGAGGUGGA